CCUACGGGAGGCAGCAGUGAGGAAUAUUGGUCAAUGGACGAGAGUCUGAACCAGCCAAGUAGCGUGAAGGAUGACUGCCCUAUGGGUUGUAAACUUCUUUUAUAAAGGAAUAAAACGAGGCACGUGUGCCUUUUUGCAUGUACUUUAUGAAUAAGGAUCGGCUAACUCCGUGCCAGCAGCCGCGGUAAUACGGAGGAUCCGAGCGUUAUCCGGAUUUAUUGGGUUUAAAGGGAGCGUAGAUGGGUUGUUAAGUCAGUUGUGAAAGUUUGCGGCUCAACCGUAAAAUUGCAAUUGAUACUGGCAGUCUAGAGUACAGUUGAGGUAAGCGGAAUGCGUGGUGUAGCGGUGAAAUGCUUAGAUAUCACGAAGAACCCCGAUUGCGAAGGCAGCUUACUAAACUGUGACUGACAUUGAUGCUCGAAAGUGUGGGUAUCAAACAGGAUUAGAUACCCCAGUAGUC
rnacentral:rRNA from 1 species